UAAAUGUAAUGCUUUGUCUUGUGUAAGCAUAUGAUUUCUUGUUUUGGUUGCUUUUUAAUUUAGAUUUGUUUUGCUCUAAUUAUCCUUUGUUUAGUGGACUAUUGUUUGAAAUGGAAACCCCAAAUGAUUCACGUUCAAAAAAAGCAUUACAUUUAAGUAAGGGAACAAGUGAUUGCUAACAAUAUCUAGUAUAAUUAUAAACGUCAUGCAGACCAAGCAGUUAAUGAAUGUCCCCAACUCUAACAAACCUAGACAUGAGCAGUGCCCUGGGUGAAUUUGGGGUCCUCGCAUCUAUACCGCCCAUCAGGUCCAAUUCCAAAGCCUUUUGGAUCUGCAAAGACAUUUUCAAGUAGCUGGCUGCGAGGUGGAAGAGGACUCUCAUCUGCAAAUUCAACAGCAUCCUCAACCACUUCAUCUAU
rnacentral:misc_RNA from 1 species